UACGUAGGGCGCAAGCGUUGUCCGGAAUUAUUGGGCGUAAAGAGCUCGUAGGCGGUCUGUCACGUCUGCUGUGAAAACCCGGGGCUUAACCCCGGGCUUGCAGUGGAUACGGGCAGACUAGAGGCAGGUAGGGGAGAAUGGAAUUCCCGGUGUAGCGGUGAAAUGCGCAGAUAUCGGGAGGAACACCGGUGGCGAAGGCGGUUCUCUGGGCCUGACCUGACGCUGAGGAGCGAAAGCGUGGGGAGCGGACAGG
rnacentral:rRNA from 1 species